GUGCUCGCUUCGGCAGCACAUAUACUAAAAUUGGAACGGUACACAAAAGAUUAGCCUGGCCCCUGCACAAGGAUGACAUGCAAAUUCAUGACAUGUUCUAUGUUUUU
rfam:Tupaia chinensis contig42299, whole genome shotgun sequence.